GAUGAACGCUGGCGGCGUGCCUAAUACAUGCAAGUCGAGCGAACGGACGAGAAGCUUGCUUCUCUGAUGUUAGCGGCGGACGGGUGAGUAGCACGUGGAUAACCUACCUAUAAGACUGGGAUAACUUCGGGAAACCGUAGCUAAUACCGGAUAAUAUUUUGAACCGCAUGGUUCAAAAGUGAAAGACGGUCUUGCUGUCACUUAUAGAUGUAUCCGCGCUGCAUUAGCUAGUUGGUAAGGUAACGGCUUACCAAGGCAACGAUGCAUAGCCGACCUGAGAGGGUGAUCAGCCACACUGGAACUGAGACACGGUCCAGACUCCUACGGGAGGCAGCAGUAGGGAAUCUUCCGCAAUGGGCGAAAGCCUGACGGAGCCACGCCGCGUGAGUGAUGAAGGUCUUCGGAUCGUAAAACUCUGUUAUUAGGGAAGAACAUAUGUGUAAGUAACUGUGCACAUCUUGACGGUACCUAAUCAGAAAGCCACGGCUAACUACGUG
rnacentral:rRNA from 1 species